UACGUAGGGUGCCAGCGUUGUCCGGAAUUAUUGGGCGUAAAGAGCUCGUAGGCGGUUUGUCGCGUCUGCUGUGAAAACGCGAGGCUCAACCUCGCGCCUGCAGUGGGUACGGGCAGACUGGAGUGCGGUAGGGGAGAUUGGAAUUCCUGGUGGUAGCGGUGGAAUGCGCAGAUAUCAGGAGGAACACCGAUGGCGAAGGCAGGUCUCUGGGCCACUACUGACGCUGAGAAGCGAAAGCAUGGGGAGCGAACAGG
rnacentral:rRNA from 1 species